UAAUAUAUAUAUAUAUAUAUAUAUAUAUAUAUAUCAGCCAUAUUAGUAAUUACGUAGCUUUUAUUUAAGGUAAAAAAAAGAAAAUACUAAUUGUACACUUUUAAUUAAUUUUAUUAUUAGUUUGAUGAAAAUAUAAUAUAUACUUAGAUGAACCAAUAUAUUUUUCUAAGAAUUUUGAAAAUCAUCUUGGUGAUGAUAAGUGGCUACAUUCAAAAGUUGUAAUGCUCCUCAAUUAAUAUAUAAAUGAUGUUUUGAAAAUUUUGGUUAACGAUAUAGUACUAUGAAGUUCAUUUACAGUUUGCAUGAUCUAUAUCCUUUAUUUGAAAUAUAUUUUACACUGAAAUAUAUUUUAAAUUUUUUUUGAAACUGUGCAAUGUCAAAAUUUUACAAAGGAAUUACGUUCCAUGUCUCGUUCAUUACUAAUGUUGCAAACUAAUGUAACUAAUGUAAACCGGACAGUAUAACCAAACGAUUUUUUGCUACAGUAUAACUUCUUUAAAUUAAUACUCUAUAAAUUAAUAUAUACUAAAAAUGUCUAUAAAAUAAUACAAUUUUCUAGUCCCAAAAUUAAAAUUUUGGUUCAAUUAGUAUAUCCAUAAAUUAAUAUCUCUAUAAAUUAAUAAAAAAAUUAUAGUUUUGGUGUAGUCCCAACAUUAUUGAUUUAUAGAGGUUUCACUGUAUUUUGUUUCAUAGCUUAAGUUAUGCUUAAUAAUACAACAAUUACAUUUUCCUACUAUAGUGAAACUAACGAAAACUAACGCAAUGUUCAAAAAUCCCCCUAUAUAUUAAAUGAGAAGUCACUUUAGUGAUUUCUCGUGACGUAUCAUUCAUAUGUGAAGUUUCAAGAAAUUGUUAUAAUUCGAUUGGUCGAUUAUUCUUAAUAUUUAUUUAUUUAAUUUAGAUAAAAAAAUUUAAGGGAAGUAUAAAAUCAUUUAACAUCAGUUGCUAUAUAAUCUAAAGAAUUUUACAAAUAACCAUUUAUGGAAAUUAAUUCUCAAAAUUAUAGAAAGAUUAAUAAUAUUUUAUUUAUUAGUUUUAAUAUUUAUAAACUAUAAUAUAGUGAACGUAAUUUUAUAUAAGAUAAUUAUAAUAGUUUUAUACUCUACUUGAUGAAUUGUAUUCGAAUAUAAUUAUAUACUUACUAUUUUAAAAAUUACAAAAUCCAAACAUGUUUAUUAAUAUUAUUUUUAAAUUAUUUAUCGUUGUUUAAAGAAUAAAUUUAUCAGAAUUUUAAAAUAAUUUAUAAAAAUAUAAAACUAUUAUAUAUUGAUUGAAAAGUCACAUAAGUAAUUUUUAAUUAUGUGUCGAUCAUAAAUAAACUCUUCAAAUUGUUAUAAUUUGAUUGACCGAUAACUUUUAAUUUUAAUUAUUAUAAUUAUAACUAAAAGGAAAUGAUAAUUCAAUUACCACUCUCCAAAUAAUCUACAUAAUUUUAGAAAUAAUUAUAUAUGGUAACUAAUUGUUGAAACUAUGAAAUAGUAAUAAUGUGAUCAAUUUUUUUAUAUAUUUAUAAAUUACAUAAAUAAAAAACAAAAAUGUUUAUUUAAAUUGAUAUAAUGAUUUUAUAUUCGUAUAGAAAACCUUAUAUUUUUAUAUAAUGUAUCGUAAUAACUAUUAAUGUCUAAUAAAUUUCAUGCAUGCUUUAUAAAUCGUUUAUAAAAUUAUGAAUAAAUUUAUAAAAUUAUUUAUAUUGGCUUAUCAGAUGUUUACAUAUCAUUAAACCUUUUCUUAACUCCAUCCUCUUUCCUCCUCUGAAAACCCAUCUUCUUAAACUUCAGCUGAAUCCAAACGUCUUUAACGCCAUUGUUAAACGUCUUUGAACUUUGAUGUGUUCAUCAAAGUUAUUGAGGGUCGUUUUCAGUAACCGAGAAUGCCAAUCGAUGAUUACGAGAAUUCUGCGAAAUCAAGCCUAAGAAAAAAAAAACGUGGUAUUUCAUAUAAUACCUUUUUCUGGCAUGCUCUGUUUCUUUUAAAGCAUCUAAGUACUUUGUUCCGUAUACCCAACAAAGGGGUUUGGUUUUAUCUUGAAGAACUGGAACAAUGCUCUUUGGGAAGAGUAUUUCAUCUUAUGCGACAAGUUUGAUUCUGCAAGUAAUUUACUUUAUUUGGUGUCACUAAUUUGUACAAUACGAUUUUCUUUUAUAUACCAGUCUUAAACUUUUAACCCACAUAAUUCCAUAUAAAUAGUGAGAAAGAAUCUAAAACAUUAAUGGGUUUUAAUAUGAUUCCUAUAAUGAUAACUUUUUGAAAUUGAAGUAUAAAAGGUGAAAAUUUUGAAGUUCAGUUGUGGUUUAAGAGAUAUGUUUAAAUGUUCUCUUGGAGUAUAUAUAUAAUCGUAUACCAAAUGUUUAUGUUCUGGAACAGAUAAUCAAAUCUGUAUUGGUUUUGGUGAGGGAGCUGGUGGACCAGAGGAGGGAGAUAUGCAAAAGACUGCCAUGGGUGAAGCCUCUGCUUAAAGAGCAGUUCUUUGUUCACUGCAAGUUUCAUGUACUCUCACAAGGGUGAUUGCAAUAUGUAUUACUUAGACUGCACCAGUGGCGAGCUUUGCUCUCUUUGUCUUUUCCAUCGCAAAGACCAUCCAAUCCAAGUGCGUUCUUGCUAUAAUUUUAAUUAAAUUUUUGGUUGGUUGUGCUCUUUGGUUUAGGUUUUGAAUUUGUAUUGAUUGGUUUUGGCAGAUAGGUAGAUCUUUAGGUCUAUAUAUCAAUAGCUUGCCACAAUGCUUGGAUCCAUAGCUAUUCCAUGCAGGUCUGACUCCUUAAAAAUAUCCCUUCAAAAGUUCUGAUUAUGUUUCUUACCAUCUAUCUAAUAAUCUAAAUUUUUUUUAAUACAAUCUGAUUUGAUCAAUGGAUUCUACUUGCAACAUCUUUCUCAUAUGUGUUUUGAUGAUUUUAUCAUUUAGUUGCUUAGUUUUUUUGUUUAAACUUGGUCAAUAGCAGCUUCUUCUGCGAUCAUAAGCUAAAGUUAUGACCUUAUGUGAUUUACUUUUUUUUCGCGUUCUUUUCAGUGUGUCCAUAUGAUGAAGGAAAAUUGAAUAUGGAUCUUGAGGUUUGAAUGAUAAGUGUCUGCAUUCAGCUUGGUUUUGAGAACCAAUCAGACACUGUCAUACUUCUGUGCAAAUGUCUUCGUCAAGAUAUCAGUAGGAGAUGGAUCACAAAGGAGGACAAGGAAUCUGAAGUUUGGCAGUAUAAUCUAGGAUGAUGCAAAGGAUCUUUCUGAUUUUGUUCUCUUUCUUCUCUUAACAUGUUAGUCGGAUAACGUCGUUCCUAUGAUGAGUAUUGUAUGAUUAUAAGUGAUAACAUUUACUUGGGAUAAUGUUUUUUUCCUUCUCGCUUUAUACUUUCUGUAAAGUUAUGACGUUCAGUUGUACCAAGUACCAACUACGGAAGAUGUUAAAAGGAAGGAGUGGUGUGGUAGAUGUCAUGAAUAACAACCUUAAUAGAACUCAUAGUUGUAACGCAAACCCAAAUCUAAUAGCCAAUACCUACAAAACUUAACAUUCGAUUAAACUACUAAAAUCUGGUAGUAUAAGAAGAUAAGAGCUCCACAAUUGUCUUAAUCAAAUAAUAUAUAAUACAUAUUAAUUAUUGAAAAAAUAUUACUUAAAAUUUUGCAUGAAAUAAAUACAAUGAUAGAAAAAACUAUAAUAAUAUACUAAAACAAAUAACAAAAAAAAAAUCCACGGCAUCAUAAACUACUUUACCACUUAAAUUAUUUGUCGGUCUCUUUAGGUUCUAUUAUUUAUGACUCUAAACUUUGAUUUGGGUUUAUACAGUAAUAUUAUUCUUACUAUAGUCAACUAGGAAAUUGAAAAAUAGAUUUGAUUCAUCCGCCAAUUUAUUUUUCUAAGUUCAUAUAUGGUCAAUAAUUGUAUCCCAACUUUAACUUAUAAAAAAAUAGAAUGGCGAGAGGUUUGAGAUCAAACAUUAAAAUCGAUGUGCCGUUAACCAAUACUACAAAACUCUGCACACAUGAAAUUAGCCAUGUGUUUACCCGUAACUGAAGAAUCGAACCUUACCAAAUAAAGAGCAAAAUCGAAACUAAAUCAGAUUUCAUAAAUCAUCUAUAUUUCUAUAUAUCAUGUAUUCUAUAUUUUUUCUAAAACUAAAAUAUCAGAACCAAACCAGAACCAAACUAGAACCGAACCAAAAUCAAUAAGUACCUCAAUUUGAAAUAUAAUUUACAAAUCGAAAAUAUUAAAUAAACUUAGUUUUACAGUAACAAAUAUCAUAAACUUAUUAUUUAUAAACUGAACUAUCCAAAAUGAAUUAUAUGAAUACCAUUUCCCUAAAUUAUUUAAAAUUAUAUAAGCAACCUGAUAAUUUAUCCAAAAAACUUAAAUCACAACCUGUUAUUUUCCUGGCAAAAACCAAUUUAUCCAUAAAAUUUACUCAAAUUAACCAAAAUAAUCUGAAAUACCCGUAACCGAAAGGGACCCGAUUUUUUUUUGAUAUUAGCUGGUUCCCCACUUUGUUGUCCUAACUGAACCAAAAAACAAAAUAUCUGAACAAGAAUUGAAUCAAAUUUUAUAAAUAACCGAACAUAUCUUAUAUCUGUAGACUUAAAAAAUAAAAUAAAUCCAAAAAAAAGAUUAUAAAAAAGUUUGAAAAAAGAAGAAAGAGAAAGGAUAAAAAAAGAAAGAGAGCAAGAGUGGUACCUCUCGGUAGAGCUUUCAUACCUUUCUAAAGAAUCAGUGAAUAACUGAAUACAUGUGGGAUUAUUUUACAGGUUGUUUUUAUUUUAAUUUUUAAAAUAUUUAAUAACUAAAUUAUGUACAAAAAUAAUAAUAAAAAUAUUAGUGAGGUACUCUACUUGCUAUUUUACCACUAAUGAUGCCCUAACAAUACGAUCUCAGAAUUCUAUUCAUUAUUGUUUUUUAUAAUAUAGGUUUCAAUCCGCCAUAGUUUUUGAAUGCUUCAUAAAAUUAAUAUAAACUUAUAUAAAAAUUACUUUAUAUUUUCUUAUGAAGUAUCUAAAAAUUAUUAUAGAUAAAAAAUAUUCUAAACAAACAAAUAAUGAGAAAAAUAUGGGAUCAUAAUAAUAAAUUUUUUUUUGAAUUAUAACGACAGUAACCUUCAUUGUUCUUUGAUAAGUAACAUUAUAUUUUUAAUAUUUCUUUUAGUUUCAAAUAAUAAGUUUUAUAUUAUAUAGUAAUCAUUAUUCAUUAUUAUAAAUAUGCACAUUACAAUAUAUAUAUAUAUAUAUAUAUAUAGAAGAAUUAUUGUCAAAGAAGAGUUAUGUUUAUGAACAUAAAUCCACUAAUAUAUUUUAUCUUAUAAAUUAUUCGAAUUGUGAAAUAAAUUUUCUACUACAAAAAUAACAUUAAAACUCAUGUAACACAACUAAUGUACACAAAACUAAUGUACACAAAAUAAUUUUAUAAGAUAGAAUAUGUUAUUCUACUAAAAUUAAUAUCUCCGUCUUAAUUUUUUUUGCUCGACAUGUGUAAAAAUAAUUAUAUUUGCAUUCUUUAAAUAUUCCUUAUUAAGGUUUUACUUUGUUACUCCCUUUCAUUAAGAUCACUUUUAAUAAAAAUAAUCAGAAUAAUACGGUUGUAUUAUUCAAAGUUCAAUACUCAAAUAUUCAUGAAUAUUGUAUAAUUUCUAAACAAUUAAUGUUCUAAACUAUCAACAAUUCAGAAAAAGAGUGUCUGGAUUUACUUCAUCCUUACUCAACUUUAUCUAAUAUCAAUUUUCUAUUUACUAUUUAAAAUUCAUUUAUUCUACAUAGUUUAUUUCUUAUUAAACUGAAACAAAUAGCUAAAAGUAUUAUUUUAGAGGUAACAACAAACUCAGAGGUGGUCGGUUGGAAUUUUACAGAAGGUAAUUACGUAAUUAUCUUGGAAAGUUUGAAACUACUAAACAUUUUAAUAGUACACUCUUUCACCACACCACAAAAAAUCAUAGAACCACGAAUCUUAAUGUCAAAGUGGAUGGAAUUACUUUAUCACUACUCAAUCUAAUAUGAUCAUAAUUAUAAUGAUUAUUUUCCUCUCAAAAUUUACUGAAUAUACAGAAUUCAUCUACGUAUACAGCAAAAACUUAAAUACUAUAUAUGAGUUGAAACAAAUAGAAAUAGUUUUUUUUUAUCAUAAUGAAACUGACUGUCAAAUAACUCCUAACCAAAACAUAACGAAACUGAAACAAAGAUAAUCAAAGACUAACUGCAGAGUAAUAAGAAACAUUAUUUAGACCCAACAUAUGAAACCAUAACUACUGGAAUUUCAUUUCAAACAUGCACUAUCUUAGCCGCAUUGGUAGAUGAGUGGAUCCUCUUCUUAGGCGCAUGAUCAUCUGCCUUCUCAUCAGCAUCCUUAACUGCAUCACUGCUGCCCUCUCCAGUUUCAACCUGAACAGGAACUGGAAUACCAUCUGGAUUGUCGUCAUCAUCAGCAUUGUCUCCUCCCUAGUCCAUUCGGAGAGUUUUAAAGAUUAUUAAAAUAACUCUUACAUCGACGACAAAGAUUAUUAAUAGAUAAUCAAAGACUAAUAAAGUCAUUCUUACAUGACAUGUGAAGCAAAGAUUUGUAUUCAUAAAUUAAUUUUAAUUGUAGAGCCUUUUUUCAUUAAAUUCUAUUUUAUACAAACCUAACUGGAUUACUCUUGAAUGCUAUAAAAAAAUCCAAUCUAACUGAAUCAGUCUUGAAUGCUGCUCCAAAACUAAAUUUUCCGGAAGAAGUGAAGUAUUCUUGUAUUAGUUCACUGAAAAAAAUCAACCUAAUAUGGAAAGUAUUUACAUUUUUUUCCUAUGAGAAGAUUUUAAUUCUCUUUUUUGUAAUUAAGGGUCAUAUUGUGAAUGAGUUUUAAUUCCUAACUAAUAUUUUCACCAAGAAAGAGUUUAAAUUUUUAAGGUCAAACUAUCUCAGAGUUUGGACCUUAAGUGAAUAGCAAUAAUGCUCUCAAAGCUUUCAUCAUUGUGUAAAAUUUUUAAUGGUUUUUGUGAUUCAGAUUCGUCAAAGCAAUCACUCAGUUUGAUAUUUGAUAAAUAUCUUCCAAAUUUUGUACCUUCCGCGAUCACUCAGUUUAAUAUUUGAUAAAUUUCUUCCAAAUUUUAUACCUUCUGCAACUACUCAGUUUGAUACUUGAUAGAUUUCUUCCUUAUUAUAUAUCUUCUUAGUAUGAUGAAAUUGAUGUUUGCUUCCACAACCUCUACGAAGUCCUCGAAGUUGACUCAACUUUCUUAUUAAUUAUAUAAUGGCUUCCAUUAGGACUGACCGACUGAGUACAUUACUUUCUUUAUGUUCAGUUGUAAUAAACUAAGAGAUUUCUGGCAAAUAAUAAAAGGAUUGCAUAACACCAAAAGAUUAAAGGUCUCUACGUAACAAAGCAAAUAUCAUCGUUACAUCAAGAGUAGAACAUUUCGGAUGGUGGCCAACAACGGACACCAACAAAAGAGGCAUUUGAACAAUAAAAAUCUUAGGAAUACACAAAAGGCUUCCCUUUUUUUCCCAACAGUGCAAGAGUUCCAUAAAUAUUUUUUUCAGAGCAUGUUAAAGACUUUUCUUGACCUAUCCAUUUGCAUGUGACGACCAGCCAUAUAUCAAAGAAUGCCUCAAGAAUUCUGUGAUUAUAAUUGUACUUCGUAUCUUGAUUUGCGGAUGUUUCUAUAAGUAUGAUGAAACUGAUCACAGUCUUCUCCACCAGAAGAAUCGUAGCUAUCAUCAUCAUGAAUUGUUGUUGGUGCUGUCCUCUCUUCAGACCCAUCAAACCAACAGCUGAAGAAAACCCAUUGAGCUGCACCGACCCUUAUGCUUCAGACAACACUCUAUAAAAGGGUGAAUGUCGUGUGAUUCUAAGCUGCUCUUGCGUCUAGCUGAAGAGGAGCUAGCCCUGAGUUACUCUUGUCUGAACAUUCAUCAGAGGUUCUUCUGGUAACCGUAUGCGCUUGGUUUGCUUUCCCUGUUUCCCGUUACUGUUAACAGCUUCAAAUUUUGCUGGGAACAUUAUAAGGCCAAUACUUCUUGCUUGUGACCCAACAAACGGAUGUUCCUUCCUUGCCACAGGCUAGAUAAUUUUGAAUUUCUUCCUUGCUUCUGCUGCUGCCUUUGAAACUUCUUCUGCAUUGUAACGCGAAAGAGAACAUGGACUGAUCUUCACAGGUUGUGUCUUGUCUUCUGAACCAAAUCGCCAGAAGAGAAUCGGACAGCCUGAAGUUCUUAUUGCACGGAACCACAUCAAACCUUCUCAGUGUUAACAUUUAAUCAGCCGUCAGACGUUUCCUGAAAGUGGCGGUGAACAUUUAAUGUGGCUGGCAUGAUGGUUACCUUAAAAACUGUGAAAAAAUAUUAAGCAUCAACAAACAGUUCCGUAAUAUACCAUUCAAAGAUACUCUAUGAAAAUCAAAAUUAUUUAUGUAUCUAUUAAAAUUUUAAUCUCACCCUUCAAAUCUUAAUCAUAAGUUUAAACUAAUGAACCAUAGAGUUAUAAGUGUCUUUAAAAAGAGAGGGUAAAUGUGGUUAAGAUAAAAAUAAAAAACGGUAUUAUGAAUGUGGUAGUUCAGGCAAUUUUUGAGAGAAUCCCCCCCCACCCCUUUUAGUUUAGUUAUUAAAGUCCGUAAAUUUAAUAAACAAUUAUGAAAAACACAUCCAAUAACUAAUUCAUGAUUAAAACAUAGAUUCUAAAAAA